rnacentral:rRNA from 1 species
GUGACCCCAAGUCAGGCGGGACCACCCGCUGAGUUU